UACGGGGGGAGCAAGCGUUGUUCGGAUUUACUGGGCGUAAAGGGCGCGUAGGCGGUCGUGACAAGUCACUUGUGAAAUCUCCGGGCUUAACUCGGAACGGUCAAGUGAUACUGUCGGACUAGAGUACAGAAGGGGCAACUGGAAUUCUCGGUGUAGCGGUGAAAUGCGCAGAUAUUGGGAGGAACACCAGUGGCGAAGGCGGCACUCUGGGCCAGUACUGACACUGAGGAGCGAAAGCGUGGGGAGCGAACAGGG
rnacentral:rRNA from 1 species